rnacentral:rRNA from 1 species
GUGAGGGAUGAAGGAGUCUGGGUUAUAAACCUCUUUUAUCACGGAAGAAGAUUGACGGUACUUGAUGAAUAAGCCACGGCUAAUUCCGUGCCAGCAGCCGCGGUAAUACGGGAGUGGCAAGCGUUAUCCGGAAUUAUUGGGCGUAAAGCGUCCGCAGGCGGUCUUUUAAGUCUGUCGUCAAAGCGUGGAGCUUAACUCCAUUUCUGCGAUGGAAACUGGAAGACUAGAGUGUGGUAGGGGCAGAGGGAAUUCCCGGUGUAGCGGUGAAAUGCGUAGAUAUCGGGAAGAACACCAGUGGCGAAGGCGCUCUGCUGGGCCAUAACUGACGCUCAUGGACGAAAGCCAGGGGAGCGAAAGGGAUUAGAUACCCCUGUAGUCCUGGCCGUAAACGAUGAACACUAGGUGUCAGGGGAAUCGACCCCCUCGGUGUCGUAGCCAACGCGUCAAGUGUACCGCCUGGGGAGUACGCACGCAAGUGUGAAACUCAAAGGACUUGACGGGGGCCCGAACAAAC